rnacentral:misc_RNA from 1 species
GCUCCAUUCGGUAAGGUUAUUCCUGGAAGAAAAACGAUAAACAAUAAGGAGAAAGUGACAGCUAUAAUAAAAUGCAGCAGUUCAUGUAAACACAUCUUUGUGGAGAAAGCUAAACGAACUUAACCAACACUAGAAGUGAUCAUGGAUAGGACAGAAUCCAUUUUAACAACAUUUAUAUUCAAUUCAAGAGAUUAAUCUAUUAACAUGUUGAGCAUAGUUAAUUGCAACAUACACCAAUUUACUGGUUGAGAAGAGGAGAAUUCUUUUAAAAGUCAAUAAAAAAAUUGUACUUAAAUAUGACACGCUAUUUUCUUCAUUUAAAUGUACUUUUCUGAAGGACAAUUACCCCUCAAAAUUUUAUACAAUUGAGAAAUGCUUAAUUUUUCCAUAUAAAUAUCAACUAAUAGUAUAUGCAUUCUGUGUCUCUGAGAGUGAAUGCAUGCUUCUAUAAAUGUUUCUGUGUACAAUUAAAAUGUUUUAGUGCCCCUAAGGCCUCCAAUUACCAGAAUUUCAAAUGAAUUUAAUGCAAAUUUCAACCCAAUUAGACAGGAAAAAUUUAUCUAAAAAACAAAUAAAAGAAUUCCAAGAACAACAAAAAAGGGGGAAAAAAAGAAAUUAGGAAAUGUUAUACGUGAUAUCUCCAAUGUCCAACUUUGCAUGAUAG